rnacentral:rRNA from 1 species
ACGCGAAAGGGGAGCAAUCCCUGAGUAGAGUGGCAAACGGGUGAGUAACACGUGGGUGACCUGCCUUCGAGUGGGGGAUAACGUCCCGAAAGGGACGCUAAUACCGCAUGACAUCCUGCUUUUGGAAAAGCGGAGAUCAAAGCUGGGGAUUCGCAAGAACCUAGCGCUUGAAGAGGGGCCCGCGCCUGAUUAGCUAGUUGGUGAGGUAACGGCUCACCAAGGCUACGAUCAGUAUCCGGCCUGAGAGGGCGGACGGACACACUGGGACUGAGACACGGCCCAGACUCCUACGGGAGGCAGCAGUGGGGAAUUGUUCGCAAUGGGCGCAAGCCUGACGACGCAACGCCGCGUGGAGGAUGAAGAUCUUCGGGUCGUAAACUCCUGUCGAGUGGGAAGAAUUGCUUCAGGGUGAAUAUCCCUGAAGUUUGACGGUACCACUAAAGGAAGCCCCGGCUAACUCCGUGCCAGCAGCCGCGGUAAUACGGGGGGGGCAAGCGUUGUUCGGAAUUACUGGGCGUAAAGGGCUCGUAGGCGGCCAACUAAGUCGGAUGUGAAAUCCCCAGGCUCAACCUGGGAACUGCAUCCGAUACUGGAUGGCUUGAAUUCGGGAGAGGGAUGCAGAAUUCCAGGUGUAGCGGUGAAAUGCGUAGAUAUCUGGAGGAAUACCGGUGGCGAAGGCGGCAUCCUGGACCGACAUUGACGCUGAGGAGCGAAAGCUAGGGGAGCAA